rnacentral:rRNA from 1 species
AGAGUUUGAUCCUGGCUCAGAACGAACGCUGGCGGCGCGUCUUAAGCAUGCAAGUCGAACGGCAAGAGAGAAGCUUGCUUCUCUCCUAGAGUGGCGGACUGGUGAGGAACACGUGGGUAAUCUGCCCUUAAGAUGGGGAUAGCUGCUAGAAAUAGCAGGUAAUACCGAAUACACUCGGCACUUCACAAGAGGUGUUGAGGAAAGGAAGCUAUGGCUUCGCUUGAGGAUGAGCUUGCGUCCCAUUAGCUAGUUGGUGAGGUAAAGGCCCACCAAGGCGACGAUGGGUAUCCGGCCUGAGAGGGUGAUCGGCCACAUUGGGACUGAGAUACGGCCCAAACUCCUACGGGAGGCAGCAGCUAAGAAUAUUCCGCAAUGGACGGAAGUCUGACGGAGCGACGCCGCGUGGAUGAAGAAGGCUGAAAAGUUGUAAAAUCCUUUUGUUGAUGAAGAAUAAGGGUGAGAGGGAAUGCUCAUCUGAUGACGGUAAUCGACGAAUAAGCCCCGGCUAAUUACGUGCCAGCAGCCGCGGUAACACGUAAGGGGCGAGCGUUGUUCGGAAUUAUUGGGCGUAAAGGGCAUGUAGGCGGUUGUGUAAGCCUGGUGUGAAAUCCUGGGGCUUAACCCCAGAAUAGCAUUGGGUACUGCACGACUUGAAUUACGGAAGGGAAACUGGAAUUCCAAGUGUAGGGGUGGAAUCUGUAGAUAUUUGGAAGAACACCGGUGGCGAAGGCGGGUUUCUGGCCGAUAAUUGACGCUGAGAUGCGAAAGUGUGGGGAUCGAACAGGAUUAGAUACCCUGGUAGUCCACACUGUAAACGAUGUACACUAGGUGUUGGGGCAAGAGCUUCAGUGCCAAAGCAAACGCGAUAAGUGUACCGCCUGGGGAGUAUGCCCGCAAGGGUGAAACUCAAAGGAAUUGACGGGGGCCC